rnacentral:rRNA from 1 species
GACAGAGGGGGCAAGCGUUGCUCGGAAUCACUGGGCGUAAAGGGCGCGUAGGCGGGAUGGCAAGUCGGUCGUGAAAUCCUUCGGCUCAACCGAAGAACGUCGGCCGAUACUGCCGUUCUUGAGGGAUGCAGAGGAGAUUGGAAUUCCCGGUGUAGCGGUGAAAUGUGUAGAGAUCGGGAGGAACACCGGUGGGCGAAGGCGGGUCUCUGGACAUCUCCUGACGCUGAGGUGACGAAAGGCGUGGGGAGCAAACAGG